rnacentral:rRNA from 1 species
GUUAGUGGCGGACGGGUGAGUAACGCGUGAGAAUYUGCCCUCAGGAGGGGGAUAACGGUUGGAAACGACCGCUAAUACCCCAUAUGCCGCGAGGUGAAAUGAAUUUCGCCUGAGGAUGAGCUCGCGUCUGAUUAGCUAGUUGGUGGGGUAAGAGCCUACCAAGGCUUCGAUCAGUAGCUGGUCUGAGAGGAUGAUCAGCCACACUGGGACUGAGACACGGCCCAGACUCCUACGGGAGGCAGCAGUGGGGAAUUUUCCGCAAUGGGCGAAAGCCUGACGGAGCAACGCCGCGUGAGGGAUGAAGGCCUCUGGGCUGUAAACCUCUUUUAUCAAGGAAGAAGAUCUGACGGUACUUGAUGAAUAAGCCACGGCUAAUUCCGUGCCAGCAGCCGCGGUAAUACGGGAGUGGCAAGCGUUAUCCGGAAUUAUUGGGCGUAAAGCGUCCGCAGGCGGUCUUACAAGUCUGUCGUUAAAGCGUGGAGCUUAACUCCAUUUCGGCGAUGGAAACUGUAAGACUAGAGUGUGGUAGGGGCAGAGGGAAUUCCCGGUGUAGCGGUGAAAUGCGUAGAUAUCGGGAAGAACACCAGUGGCGAAGGCGCUCUGCUGGGCCAUAACUGACGCUCAUGGACGAAAGCUAGGGGAGCGAAAGGGAUUAGAUACCCCUGUAGUCCUAGCCGUAAACGAUGAACACUAGGUGUCGGGGGAAUCGACCCCCUCGGUGUCGUAGCCAACGCGUUAAGUGUUCCGCCUGGGGAGUACGCACGCAAGUGUGAAACUCAAAGGAAUUGACGGGGGCCCGCACAAGCGGUGGAGUAUGUGGUUUAAUUCGAUGCAACGCGAAGAACCUUACCAGGGUUUGACAUCCUGCGAAUCCCUUGGAAACUUGGGAGUGCCUUCGGGAGCGCAGUGACAGGUGGUGCAUGGCUGUCGUCAGCUCGUGUCGUGAGAUGUUGGGUUAAGUCCCGCAACGAGCGCAACCCACGUCUUUAGUUGCCAGCAUUUAGUUGGGCACUCUAGAGAGACCGCCGGUGAUAAACCGGAGGAAGGUGUGGAUGACGUCAAGUCAUCAUGCCCCUUACAUCCUGGGCUACACACGUACUACAAUGCUACGGACAAAGGGCAGCAAACUCKCGAGAGCUAGCCAAUCCCAUAAACCGUGGCUCAGUUCAGAUCGUAGGCUGCAACUCGCCUACGUGAAGGAGGAAUCGCUAGUAAUCGCAGGUCAGCAUACUGCGGUGAAUACGUUCCCGGGCCUUGUACACACCGCCCGUCACACCAUGGAAGUUGGCCACGCCCGAAGUCGUUACUCCAACCCUUGUGGAGGAGGAUGCCGAAGGUGGGGCUGAUGACUGGGGUGAAGUCGUAACAAGGUAGCCGUACCGGAAGGUGCGGCUGGAUCACCUCCU